GCCGAACCGAGCGAACGUUGUUCGGAAUCACUGGGCUUAAAGGGCGCGUAGGCGGGCUGUCAAGUCUGGGGUGAAAUCCCGCGGCUCAACCGUGGAACUGCCUCAGAUACUGACGGGCUCGAGGGAGGUAGGGGCGAGCGGAACUAAUGGUGGAGCGGUGAAAUGCGUUGAUAUCAGUAGGAACUCCGGUGGCGAAGGCGGCUCGCUGGACCUUUUCUGACGCUGAGGCGCGAAAGCUAGGGGAGCAAACGGG
rnacentral:rRNA from 1 species